AACAAUAAAAAUGGUAAUUUAAGGUCUCCGAUAGUUAGCCGGAGCUCGACUUUACUGAUACUGAGCGGAGACGGCGACAGCGACAGCGACGGUGACGUUUAUGGUAAUGAUAGGCCUGUUGGACGGACGUACUCAUAUAUUAAGCUGCCACAGCAACUCCUUAAGCUCUCUAUACUCAAGCUCGACGGCUCUUCUUUCGAUGUUCACGUUGGGAAAAAUGCUACGGUCGCAGAACUCAAACAAGCGGUGGAGGAAGUUUUUUCUUCGUCACCGAAGGAAGGUCAGGGCAAGAUUUCA
rnacentral:misc_RNA from 1 species